AGUUCAAGUUUUCAUCUUUUCCAGAUAUAUGCUCAAGAGUAGGAUUGCUGGAUCAUAUGGUUAGCUCUAUUUUCAGUUGUUUAACAGUUCAGUCUCCGUACUGUUUUCCAUAGUAACUGCAUCAGUUUACCUUCUGUAAAGGCCUUUUUACCCAUGUUGGAUCAAGAACUCACAGUUCGCAAACGUAAAGAUGCCAGCCAUGGACGCAGCUGAGCGAGGUGGGAGGCCUCGCUCAGCGCCCCACCCCCACACUCCUUUUCUUUUAUGUCUUGGCCACUUCGUCCUUAGUUUUGUGCAAACCUGUUGCUGUUUCACAUUUGUGCUCUUCCUUUCUGAUUGGUGCCUUGGACUCUUUCAAAAACACUUCCAGAAACCGUCCUGCGGAGCCAGAGAACCCCCGAGGAUAUCUGACUGUCAUCAUCCUGAACUUGGGGGGGCGGUGUACAUUUCUGUCUCCAGGACAGCGUUUUCCUAAAUGGGUCCUCGAGGGUGCCUUGGCGCAUAGGAAACUUUAGCAUAAAGCGCGUAAUUCUGGGCUUCCCAGCAUGAGCAACAGGUUGAAGACGUGGGAUCCACUCCGGCCCCUCCUCGGCAGGUGGGCACACGUGGAGGAAUCCAGUGGCCCACGGGUGGUUCCGGGAAUCCCCGGAUGUGUCUAUGCUGGCCCUGACCACGGAUGGCAUCACGUUCAGCUGCCUGGGAGUUUAGUCCUUUAACUAGUCGGGUGCUAUUUGCUCUGUAGCCUGCCCUGGAGCCAAGCAUGGUGGAGGGGCUGUGAGAGCAGGCCUGUUCAGUGGCAGUCACCUGAUCCUGCCCGCCCCUCCCGGCUGCUGCCGAAAGGACCCUCUUGAAAACCCGGUGAGGUGCGCCUGUGCGUGCAACGCAGAGGGAGGGGCAGGAUGUAGGCUGCUGUCGCUUGCUUUCCUUUCUCACCCUCUUUUCCUGCGAUUCAUUUUCUAAUUCCGUGAAGCAGAAACUCAAAAGGAAAUCCGAAGCUGGCCAAGAACAAGGGACUCGCCUCCAAAGGAGCGGGGCCAUGUCUGCCUUUGCUUUGGGUGGAAAACAGAGCCGGGGCCAACCAGUCUGGGUGCGGACCUGUCAUUAGGAAGCCAGCUGCCAGCUCGCGUUCCCUUGGGAUGGAGGAGGAGCCCCGCUGUCCCAGCCAGGAGAGGGUCCCUUUAACAAAAAGCUGUUGCCGCCAUCUGCUUUCGCCCUCUGGCUCCGGAACCUCUGACUCCUGCUUCUCAUUCCCAGCAGAGGCAAGAAAGCAAGCCUCCAUGGAAGCGGAAGUGCUGGAACCUCGCUCAGCCCGAGUUGCAAACCUCUGCAGGCCAGUGGAAGUUUGUAUUUUUCUUUAAAAGCAACUGGUUGUUCACCACACACUCGCUCACUUUGGGGUCAACAGGUGUAUGCUGUUCGGAAAUGUGGCAAACCCACAGGCUGAUUCCUUGGGCUCUUUGCUACCUAAGAAAGAUUACCAAAUAAGUUAACUUUGACUCACUGACCCCUCAGAUCAGCCAAUAAAAUGAAGCGCUUACACCACAACUUGCUCAAGGGGUAGUGUAAUUGAUUUACUUAAAAAUGAUGUCAGGUGGCAAUUGAGCAACAAACUGGCUUCCAGACUGCUUAAUUCAGUUUAACAAGGAGGAAAAACCUUGUAAUUAACGGAAGAGCUUGAAUACUUUGGAAGCUGUUUUCAAAGUCUGCCAUACCUAAGCUGCGGAGGGUGGGGGUAGGAGGGGACAGCUUGUUGAACUAUAAGUUCCCAGGCCCUGCUUGCAAGUCAGGGGCCAGGCCUGGGAUUCUGCAUUUAAGAGAAACCCCUUUGCAAGUUCUGCUUCUCUGCUCAUCACCCAGUCUCACUUGACUUUUAGUCAAGCUAUACUCCCUUUUCUGUUCUAAGUCUACAUUGUAUAUGUACGUCUAGAAUCCUAGGACAGUUUCCCAUCCUAAAGCAACCAGCUUUGAGCUGCUGUUUUCCUGGAGUUUCAUGGUAUAUAUGUACUAAUGUUGGAAUUCUAGUUCAUCAUGUUUCUGAUUGGAAAAUUCUUCAUCUUCCAGAGCCUGAUUAUAGAGGGCACAGAGCUUUCCGGGGGCGGGGUUGGGGGGGGGGGAGGUUCUGGGGCUUUUCUCUUGCAGUUUCCUGCCCCCAGGACAACCAGGACUCCAGUGCAGGAUGCCUGCUAUCUGAAGAAAGGUGACACCCGCCCUUAACAACCAAGGUCCUGGCUUCGAACUGUGUCCAGAUGAGCCUGUCUCCUCCUUUCCACCACCCAGUGUGUCCUGCGUAGACGGCUCCUUGAAAUAACAAGAUCACUCCUGUCUUAGAACAAAGAACUGCAGAGGUCAUCAAACGUUUUUCUUGGCACACAAGCAUCUGACAACUACCCAGGGAAUUUGGGGGUCCUGCAGAAUCCAAGUUUACAAACCACUAGAGCAAGGUAGUGUUGUAAUUCAGAUUUAGUCCUGCUGGUCUGUCUGCUCCUCCCUCUGACCCCACCCUGCAAAGAGCCGCACCCAGAAGGGGAGCCGUCAUGGGGACCACCCAACUCUGCAGAGAGCCGCGCCCAGACGGGGAGCCGUUGGGGACCAGGCUCGUCUCGGUGCUUGUCCUUGGUGCCGCCUCCCAGGUGAGCCAGAACUCCGUCCCCACCCCUGACCAUGCACAAGGAACAGGGACCUGCCAUCCGUUCUUAACCACGACACCCGCUGGGACACAGCUCCUAACCUGGUAGAAAGAGAAGGGUCCCAAGAAUGAAGCAAGAUCAAUAUCCGCAUGGCUUUUCCUGCGCUCAGCCUGGUGCUCCAGUUGGACGUGCACCAUGAAGACUGGAUGGGGUGUACAGCUGGAGAGCAGAGGCUGGGAGGAGGGCAAGCUGGGGCUUCCUGCACAGAGGAGGGCACUCCUGGCAGCUCCCUGAAGCUGCUGGAAGCUGUCCACGAGCCCGUCACUGGCGGCUCAGCCUCCACGCAGAAGGUGCCAGAAGCAAGGCCCCCCCACACACACCCCUGGCACCAUGCGGGCACACCUGUUGCCCACAGCUCUCCUGCCUGUCACCGGUGGGACAGCCCAGUGCCGGCUCCCAGGGCUGACCAAGAGGGAGGCUGGUGGCAGCUCACCCCUGGGAGCAAGGUGAUGAGUGGUGAGAUGGGCCCUCACCCCCAGAGCCUGGCAUCACCACCUCCUGGAUGCCAGCCUGGAGGCAGGAGCAUGCACAGAAGCCUCGAGGGUGUGGUCCGCAGUGACGCCAGGACAGUCC